rnacentral:rRNA from 1 species
UACGGGGGGGGUAAGCGUUGUUCGGAAUUACUGGGCGUAAAGGGCUCGUAGGCGGCCAACUAAGUCGGACGUGAAAUCCCUCAGCUUAACUGGGGAACUGCGUCCGAUACUGGAUGGCUUGGAUUUGGGAGAGGGAUGCGGAAUUCCAGGUGUAGCGGUGAAAUGCGUAGAUAUCUGGAGGAACACCUGCGGCGAAGGCGGGUUGCUGGGCCGACACUGACGCUGAGGCGCGAAAGCCAGGGGAGCGAACAGG